rnacentral:lncRNA from 1 species
UAAGGGAGACGGGGGUCGUGUUGUAAUUUGAGAAGUUUUAAGCUCCCAUUUGCAAUUAAAAAUUGGGGUUAUUUUGCAAUUUCUAAAAUAAGGACCUGCCAUGCAAUUUUAAAUAUUGAAGGACCUAGUUUUAAUUUAAAUCUAGGGUUAAUAUACAAUUUUCAAAAGGGUAUUAAAUUUGAACUUUUAAAAAGUUUGACCCUAAGAUUUCAAUUUUGAC